CUUAUGCGUUGUUGGGUAGGGGAGCGUUCUGUAAGCCUGUGAAGGUGUGCUGUGAGGCAUGCUGGAGGUAUCAGAAGUGCGAAUGCUGACAUAAGUAACGAUAAAGCGGGUGAAAAGCCCGCUCGCCGGAAGACCAAGGGUUCCUGUCCAACGUUAAUCGGGGCAGGGUGAGUCGACCCCUAAGGCGAGGCCGAAAGGCGUAGUCGAUGGGAAACAGGUUAAUAUUCCUGUACUUGGUGUUACUGCGAAGGGGGGACGGAGAAGGCUAUGUUGGCCGGGCGACGGUUGUCCCGGUUUAAGCGUGUAGGCUGGUUUUCCAGGCAAAUCCGGAAAACCAAGGCUGAGGCGUGAUGACGAGGCACUACGGUGCUGAAGCAACAAAUGCCCUGCUUCCAGGAAAAGCCUCUAAGCAUCAGGUAACAUCAAAUCGUACCCCAAACCGACACAGGUGGUCAGGUAGAGAAUACCAAGGCGCUUGAGAGAACUCGGGUGAAGGAACUAGGCAAAAUGGUGCCGUAACUUCGGGAGAAGGCACGCUGAUAUGUAGGUGAAGCGACUUGCUCGUGGAGCUGAAAUCAGUCGAAGAUACCAGCUGGCUGCAACUGUUUAUUAAAAACACAGCACUGUGCAAACACGAAAGUGGACGUAUACGGUGUGACGCCUGCCCGGUGCCGGAAGGUUAAUUGAUGGGGUUAGCGGUAACGCGAAGCUCUUGAUCGAAGCCCCGGUAAACGGCGGCCGUAACUAUAACGGUCCUAAGGUAGCGAAAUUCCUUGUCGGGUAAGUUCCGACCUGCACGAAUGGCGUAAUGAUGGCCAGGCUGUCUCCACCCGAGACUCAGUGAAAUUGAACUCGCUGUGAAGAUGCAGUGUACCCGCGGCAAGACGGAAAGACCCCGUGAACCUUUACUAUAGCUUGACACUGAACAUUGAGCCUUGAUGUGUAGGAUAGGUGGGAGGCUUUGAAGUGUGGACGCCAGUCUGCAUGGAGCCGACCUUGAAAUACCACCCUU
rnacentral:rRNA from 1 species